CCAUGCAUGCAUGCAAUGCAUCUCUGCAUGCAUGCAACCCCGCAGCCUUUUGGCGUGCGUGGGUUUCCAAAGCCAGCCAUGCCAAAAAAAGGGGGGGCGCAAUUGCCCAUCCUCACCUGCCAGGAUCGCCUUGCCCGGGUGCGUCAGCUUGACUUUGCCGGCCGGGGCUGCGGCGGCCAGGCAGCGGGGUCGGGCGAAGGGGCUGACGAAGCCCGCGGCCGGCGGGGUGGAAGACAUCGCGGCUGCGGGAGGAAGAGGAGGAGGAGAAGGAGGCGGCUGGUGGCAUCGCCGGAGGUAUUGAAAUCUGCAUCACAUUCCCCACCGAAUACGUGAAAACCCAGCUGCAGCUGGAUGAAAAGGCCAACCCGCCACGUUAUAAAGGCAUCGUGGACUGUGUCCGAGUGACAGUCAGGGACCAUGGGAUCAAAGGCCUUUACCGAGGCCUCAGCUCACUGGUGUAUGGCUCCAUCCCAAAGGCCGCCGUGAGGUAAACAUCUACUGGACCUUACGGUGGGAAGGGGGUCGGGUGUGAUGUGAGGACAAUCAACCCAUGGAACAGAAGUUGCUUUCGGAAGUUGUGGGAGCUUCAUCACUGGAG